rnacentral:rRNA from 1 species
GACGAACGCUGGCUGCGUGCUUAACACAUGCAAGUCGAACGGAAAGGCCCUGCUUGCAGGGUACUCGAGUGGCGAACGGGUGAGUAACACGUGGGGGAUCUGCCCUGCACUUCGGGAUAAGCCUGGGAAACUGGGUCUAAUACCGGAUAGGAGCCAGUUUUAGUGUGAGUGUUGGAAAGUUUGUUCGGUGUAGGAUGAGCACGCGGCCUAUCAGCCUGUUGGUGGGGUAAUGGCCUACCAAGGCGGCGACGGGUAGCCGGCCUGAGAGGGUGGACGGCCAAAUUGGGACUGAGCUACGGCCCAGACUCCUACGGGAGGCAGAAGUGGGGAAUAUUGCACAAUGGGCGCAAGCCUGAUGCAGCGACGCCGCGUGGGGGAUGACGGCCUUCGGGUUGUAAACUCCUUUCGCUAGGGACGAAGCUUUUUGUGACGGUACCUAGAUAAGAAGCACCGGCUAACUACGUG